rnacentral:rRNA from 1 species
CUACGGGAGGCACCAGUGGGGAAUAUUGGACAAUGGGGGAAACCCUGAUCCAGCAAUGCCGCGUGUGUGAAGAAGGCCUGCGGGUUGUAAAGCACUUUCGGUUGGGAGGACUGCUUCUAGCACUAAUAUUGUUGGAAGUUGACGUUACCUUCAGAAGAAGCACCGGCUACCUCCGUGCCAGCAGGCCGCGGUAAUACGGAGGGUGCAAGCGUUAAUCGGAAUUACUGGGCGUAAAGCGCGCGUAGGCGGCUAGAUCAGUCGGGUGUGAAAGCCCCGGGCUUAACCUGGGAACUGCAUCCGAUACUGUCUAGCUUGAGUACAGGAGUGGAGAGUGGAAUUCCACAUGUAGCGGUGAAAUGCGUAGAUAUGUGGAGGAACACCAAUGGCGAAGGCAGCUCUCUGGCCUGAUACUGACGCUGAGGUGCGAAAGCGUGGGGAGCAAACAGGAUUAGAUACCCCCGUAGUC